AUGAACGCUAGCGGCAGGCCUAAUACAUGCAAGUCGGACGGGAUAGGAGAGCUUGCUUUCCUUGAGAGUGGCGCACGGGUGCGUAACACGUAUGUAACCUACCUUGUUCAGGGGGAUAGCCUCUCGAAAGAGAGAUUAAGACCGCAUAACAUUAAGUUGUGGCAUCGCAAUUUAAUCAAAUAUUUAUAGGAACAAGAUGGGCAUGCGGAACAUUAGCUAGUUGGUAAGGUAACGGCUUACCAAGGCUACGAUGUUUAGGGGAUCUGAGAGGAUUACCCCCCACACUGGUACUGAGACACGGACCAGACUCCUACGGGAGGCAGCAGUAAGGAAUAUUGGUCAAUGGACGGAAGUCUGAACCAGCCAUGCCGCGUGCAGGAAGACGGCCCUAUGGGUUGUAAACUGCUUUUGUACGGGAAUAAACCUUUGGUCGUGACCAAAGCUGAAUGUACUGUAAGAAUAAGGAUCGGCUAACUCCGUGCCAGCAGCCGCGGUAAUACGGAGGAUCCAAGCGUUAUCCGGAUUUAUUGGGUUUAAAGGGUGCGUAGGUGGCUUUUUAAGUCAGGGGUGAAAGACGGCAGCUUAACUGUCGCAGUGCCUUUGAUACUGAAGAGCUUGAAUGAACUAGAGGUAGGCGGAAUGUGACAAGUAGCGGUGAAAUGCAUAGAUAUGUCACAGAACACCAAUUGCGAAGGCAGCUUACUAUGGUUUGAUUGACACUGAGGCACGAAAGCGUGGGGAUCAAACAGGAUUAGAUACCCUGGUAGUCCACGCCCUAAACGAUGAAUACUCGAUGUUGGCGAUAUACGGUCAGCGUCUAAGCGAAAGCGUUAAGUAUUCCACCUGGGGAGUACGCCCGCAAGGGUGAAACUCAAAGGAAUUGACGGGGGCCCGCACAAGCGGAGGAGCAUGUGGUUUAAUUCGAUGAUACGCGAGGAACCUUACCCGGGCUUGAAAGUUAGUGAAUGUGACAGAGACGUCACAGUCCUUCGGGACACGAAACUAGGUGCUGCAUGGCUGUCGUCAGCUCGUGCCGUGAGGUGAUGGGUUAAGUCCCGCAACGAGCGCAACCCCUAUGUUUAGUUGCCAGCAUGUAAAGGUGGGGACUCUAAACAGACUGCCUAUGCAAAUAGAGAGGAAGGAGGGGACGACGUCAAGUCAUCAUGGCCCUUACGUCCGGGGCUACACACGUGCUACAAUGGGCAGUACAGAGGGCAGCUACCUGGUAACAGGAUGCCAAUCUCCAAAAGCUGUUCACAGUUCGGAUCGGGGUCUGCAACUCGACCCCGUGAAGUUGGAUUCGCUAGUAAUCGCGUAUCAGCAAUGACGCGGUGAAUACGUUCCCGGGCCUUGUACACACCGCCCGUCAAGCCAUGGAAGCUGGAAGUGCCUGAAGUGCGUAACCGCGAGGAGCGUCCUAGGGUAAAGUCGGUAACUGGGGCU
rnacentral:rRNA from 1 species